GCCGCACCACGGGAAGAAGGGCAGCCGGAGACCUUUCUGCCCAGGAAGCCCAGGAAGAAGGAGCUCUCCAAGAGCUGUGUAUGGACAUCCUGGGGUCACUGGAUGUCUCUGCGAGCGGGAUGAGCAAACUCCUGUGGCCCCGGCUGCUGCUGUACGUGGUGCCAGCCCAGUACACCGGCAUGCUGAUCCCAGUCUCUCGCUGUGUCCAAGCACUGGCUGAGAGAGGGGACCUGAUGGUGCGGGAGAUAGAAGACCUGGAUCCCCAUUUCCUCAGCUCCAUGUUUCAAGGCCCACUGCUGACUCCCCAGACACUGCUGGCACGCCUGCUGGUGAGUAGAUGCUCCAGAGGCCGGUGCCGUGAGCCCCGAGGAGGAAGCAGCAUGGCCGAGCACGCCAGCACCUGCCUCACCCAUGGGGAUGCCAUUCUCUUCCCGG
ensembl:lncRNA